rnacentral:sRNA from 1 species
CGCCAAGCUAGUUUAAGCAACGACACUU